CCUACGGGUGGCAGCAGUGAGGAAUAUUGGUCAAUGGCCGGAAGUCUGAACCAGCCAAGCCGCGUGAGGGAGGCAGGCGCAGAGCGUCGCAGACCUCUUUUGCCGGGGGACAAAAUGCCGGACGGGUCCGGUUCUGAGGGUACCCGGAGAAAAAGCAUCGGCUAACUCCGUGCCAGCAGCCGCGGUAAUACGGAGGAUGCGAGCGUUAUCCGGAUUCAUUGGGUUUAAAGGGUGCGCAGGCGGGCCUUUAAGCCGGCGGUGAAAUCGGGGGGCUCAACCCCGCCGAGCCGUCGGAACUGGGGGCCGUGAGUGCGGCAGAGGCGGGCGGAAUGCGCGGGGUAGCGGUGAAAUGCAUAGAUAUCGCGCAGAACCCCGAUGGCGAAGGCAGCGUGCCGUGCGGCAACUGACACUGAGGCACGAAAGCGCGGGGAUCAAACAGGAUUAGAUACCCCUGUAGUC
rnacentral:rRNA from 1 species